UACGGAGGGUGCGAGCGUUGUCCGGAAUCACUGGGCGUAAAGGGCGCGUAGGCGGCGCGGAAAGUCGUCGGUGAAAGCUCGGGGCUCAACCCUGAGUCUGCCGGUGAUACUCCCGCGCUCGAGCUCACUAGAGGCAGAUGGAAUUCCGGGUGUAGCGGUGGAAUGCGUAGAUAUCUGGAGGAACACCAGUGGCGAAGGCGGCUUCCUGGCCUGCAACUGACGCUGAGACGCGAAAGCGUGGGGAGCGAACCGG
rnacentral:rRNA from 1 species